UAAUGGUAGACCAGGCGAAGGAGGCGAGCAAUUUUGGACUCACUGCCAUGCAACUGGGCGUCGAUAACCCAGCAAACAUCAAAAUAUGUCGUCAGUGCCAGUUGGUCUUCGGAGCAGUCAGGAGGCAUGGCUUUUGCUGAACGCGACGUGUUGUCUUCCAAGACAAGGUCCUCGGAGUGGACGAGGUUCACCUCAUAUAAUGGUAAGUGGCAUGCUCUUAACAACGUCAGGGUGUGUGUAAAGUAUAUUCCUAAAAGAUGACGGUAAUGAUUUGGUAAACGCUUCACCCUGUUGCCAUUGUAACAGAUGGACUGUCGCCCCGGACGUCUCCCUUUUUAAUCUCAGUUUACAGUCUUUAAUGUUGACUAUCUAAACAAAGUCUGUGGUCGUAAGAUUGAAGUUUACAUGGACGUUGUGCGAGAUGAGCGUGGGGCUGAUUGACUGGGGAAACGGCUGUGUACGGCGGCUAGAGGAGACACUGCGUCUUAAGUUACAUUUAUUACACUUUGGAAAUUAGUACACUGCACUUCGACGAGACCAGCAUGGCGUCGCACUAAAAUAACAUCGAUGUUAUGGAGCUAAUAGUGCCAUACCGGUGGAGUGAUCUACACUAGAAUCACACUGAUACCGUGUAUUCAGACAGUUAAUACACCGAGUAAACCAACGAAAGUCAAUCGAGCCCCUCGGUGAUCUCUCACAACGCACUUGCUCAAUUAUGUUGAAUUAAUUGUUCCGGUGAUGUGGAAAUAACACUAAGAAGCUAGUUAGGACUUAAUUGCUUUGUGAUUGAAGAAUAACGUACUGAUUUUCCACAGGGGGAAACGUGACAAAGGGAAGGCCUUCAGGUAUUGUUUUGGCAAGCUAGGAGAACACAUCUGACAGACAAAAAGGUUUCAUCAAAGACACACAGACAGCUCCUGAAGUAAAGGACCUACACAGGACCUUCAUAUCAAGGACAUUGACUGUGUGGAUCUCGAGGUGCAGUUACCCAAAAGUUGCUACCCACGGAAUACCAGGUUUUGAGGGAUCCUGCCAGAGCAGAGAAUCAACAGAUACAUUGAAGAGGAGACUCCGACAUGACCGCCGGCAUCUUGUGUUAUUCACCCCCACCACUUGUAAUACUGAAUGCCUGAAUUGUUGUUUGCUGCUCAGACUUUGUCACCAGAUAUGGUCUUCGACAUGUUACCCUUAGGUGUGGAAACAGAUUGUGACAGUCCAGCAAAAUGAGCCAGACAGAUAGUAACACUGAAAAAGGACAACGUUGUUCCCAUGGCCUCCCACUGCAGAAGACUACAGACGUUCAGUGAAGCACAAACAGCUGUUCCUCUUGUACUUAAUAAUUUAGUCAGCUGGAUUCUAGGUGCCACUAAGGAGCCAACAGUGGAUAAUUUUGUCAACAUUUCAAUGGCAUACAUUAAAAGGGCAGCCUGUAAUUGUUUGCCUUGCCUCCAUCUUCCUUGCCACCAAGGGGUUGUAGACUGAUGCCCUAGUCCUCCUGUUUAGGUACAACCAUGCAGUUAGGCCAGUCUAUUGAAGCAUAUACUUAAGCAUGACUGUUUGUAUGUGUUGUGUAUCUAGUAAUGGAUAAAUUACCACAUGAAUAACUGCAUAUUCAUUAUAUUGAUAAUUAUAAUGGCUUCCAUUAUUGAUUAAAAAGGGAUCUACCACCA